AGCCACCAUUCUUCUUUUCCUUCUCAAACCAGCCGUGCAACACCAAGAGAAGGAGACCAAAAUUCCUUCUUCAUUCACCUCUCAAACUUGCACCAAAUCACUUGAAAUUUCUACCACAAACUCACAACAACUUGGAGAUUCAUCUAGGCAAGGAGGGGAGCUUCAUUUCCACGGUUUUCUUGAGGCUCAAAGUGACCAAAAAUUUCUGAUCUAGUCAUCCAAGAAGGCGCUCAAGGGGACCUUCAAGAGGAACUCGAAGUGGACGCCUAGACAUUUGUUUGAGUAUUACUCUCUUGUUGCUAUAGGGUUUACUGGUAAGUACGAGCAUAACCCGAGGACGAACUUUUGACAUUUACUCUACUGAUAUCGUGAAUAGAACGAAAAUAUCAUAGCAAGUGCCAAUUUGACAGUCAUUAGGAAGGAAUUCAAGUAAUAGGCGUCCAGGGGCUAGGGAAUAGAACGAAAAUAUCAUAACAAGUGCCAAUUUGACAGUCAUUAGGAAGGAGUUUAAGUAACAGGCGUCCAACGGCAUUUUUGGGAUAUCAAGACGCGACCCUUUUUGGUAAUUUGCGGAAGACAGCACUGGAAAAAGGGAACAAAAGACCGAACUCUUCCUCACCGUUGGGGGGCGCCGCACAAUAGCUAGGCAUUAGAGUAGGAGCAUCAGAUAGGAAAUAGGAAUAGCAGGGAACUAGUACUAAUGGAGAUUUAGCUUUUGACUUUUCUUUGCAUAGGCUCUUGGUAGCUUUAUUCACUCGUAUGUCAAGACCAAUUGAAACAUUGAAUGAUUCUCUGUGACUUCGCUUUUCGUCAACAUUCGACGAGUUGAAUUUGCCAAA